UUUUUGCAUAAACUAUAGUAU
rnacentral:snRNA from 1 species